rnacentral:rRNA from 1 species
AUUGAACGCUGGCGGCAGGCCUAACACAUGCAAGUCGAACGGUAACAGGAAGAAGCUUGCUUCUUUGCUGACGAGUGGCGGACGGGUGAGUAAUGUCUGGGAAACUGCCUGAUGGAGGGGGAUAACUACUGGAAACGGUAGCUAAUACCGCAUAACGUCGCAAGACCAAAGAGGGGGACCUUCGGGCCUCUUGCCAUCGGAUGUGCCCAGAUGGGAUUAGCUAGUAGGUGGGGUAACGGCUCACCUAGGCGACGAGCCCUAGCUGGUCUGAGAGGAUGACCAGCCACACUGGAACUGAGACACGGUCCAGACUCCUCCGGGAGGCAGCAGUGGGGAAUAUUGCACAAUGGGCGCAAGCCUGAUGCAGCCAUGCCGCGUGUAUGAAGAAGGCCUUCGGGUUGUAAAGUACUUUCAGCGGGGAGGAAGGGAGUAAAGUUAAUACCUUGGCUCAUUGACGUUACCCGCAGAAGAAGCACCGGCUAACUCCGUG